UAUGUGGGACGGUAAAC
rnacentral:miRNA from 1 species